GGAAGCCUGCCCGUCCUCUGUUUUAUUGAAUUCACCGUCGCUCAGAAACCGCCCGCAAGAUUUGCUCCAACCCGGUGACGAGACUCUCCGCAUCGGAGCCAAUUUAAGCGCUAGGUGUCUCAACUAGCCACCUACACAUCGCCUUGCCUUCCGCCCUGAUUAAGAAGAAAGACAUUUUUCUUUGAAUCUAAAAUAAACUUUUGACUUGUAAAUAGUUUUGGGAAAACACGACCUGCUCUUUUAUUUUAUAACUACA